rnacentral:rRNA from 3 species
UACGUAGGUGGCGAGCGUUGUCCGGAAUUAUUGGGCGUAAAGGGAGCGCAGGCGGACAUAUAAGUCCAUCUUAAAAGUGCGGGGCUCAACCCCGUGAGGGGAUGGAAACUGUAUGCCUUGAGUGCAGGAGAGGAAAGCGGAAUUCCCAGUGUAGCGGUGAAAUGCGUAGAUAUUGGGAGGAACACCAGUGGCGAAGGCGGCUUUCUGGACUGUAACUGACGCUGAGGCUCGAAAGCCAGGGGAGCGAACGGG